UAAAUUUUGAUUAAUUUUGGAUAAUUCUUGUGAUGAGAAGCUCUUACAUGCAGAUAGAACUGGAGUUUUACUCGGACCUAGUGGGAGAUUGCUCGACAAGAAUGUAAUGAUGCACAACUCGAUAUGGGAUAACCUUGGGAUAGGCAAGACUACGCUUGUUAAAGCAUACUGUGACUAUGAUGAAACAUGUCGUAACAAAGAAGACUAUGUAGCUUGUUUUAUC
rnacentral:lncRNA from 1 species